UUUCCUUCUACAACUUGGUGUCUGAGAGGUUUUGUCUGCAGCUGGUCCCGCUACAGUUCUUGGUUCCCUGACCGGGAAGCGAGGUAACUGAUGGACGGCUGAGGCAGCCUGUUAGGCGGCUUAGGCCUGCCCUGUGGAGCAUCCCUGCGGGGGACUCUGGCCAGCCUGAGUGACGCGAGCCAAAGAGUGCUCCCAGGUAGGCAGUUUUCCUGGUAGAACGCCUCAUCAGAGCAGUGCGUAGCAGGCCCCCACAGAGGAUUAACACAGUGGCUGAACACUGGGAAGGAACUGGCACUUGGAUUCUGGACAUCUGAAACUUGCCUGUCUUCCAGGUCAUUGCUUACGUGAGCUCAUCCAGUCCUCGCAAUGAUCCCACAGGGUGGAGGCUAUCAUUAUCUUCAUUCUGCAGAUGAGGAGCUGAAGCAAAGAGAGGUCAGGCUGCCAGUGAGCUGUGGAGCCGGACCUGCAAUAUCGAAAGUCUUCAUGUACCACUUACUGACUUUGAAAGAAAAAAAAUCACUACUGUGAUCAUUUAUCAAAAACAUACGCGUGAAGAUUGUCAUCCGCCAAUCACAUAAUCUUAAAGAAAAAAAUCUAAUUUGUAAAAGUAUGCAAAAUGCAUUUUUCAGAGCAUGUGAAAUUUCUUGUAAGGUAUGAACUAUGGACAAGUUGGUUUCUCUUACAAAAGCAUUUGGACUGUGUGUCUGGACAGACUACAGAGAAAAUGGAGCUAAACCCCAGAGAAGCCUUCUUCCUGUUACCAUCGUGACUUUAUCUUAUGGAAGCAGUUGUCAGAGCACUGGACUCCAGUUGUCUAACAUUUUUCCCCCUAAUCAUACAAGUUAAAUACAGAAAACCAUACAGAAGAAAUCAUCAUGAUUCUGCUUC